AAGGGCUUAGGAUAGCACUAAGACCAAGAACCUUCAAAGUUCUAAGCGGGAGUGAGAAUCUCCCAGCCCUUG
rnacentral:tRNA from 10 species